AUUGAACGCUGGCGGAAUGCUUUACACAUGCAAGUCGAGCGGCAGCACGGGGGCAACCCUGGUGGCGAGCGGCGAACGGGUGAGUAAUACAUCGGAACAUGCCCAGUCGUGGGGGAUAACACUUCGAAAGAAGUGCUAAUACCGCAUACGUCCUGAGGGGGAAAGCGGGGGAUCGCAAGACCUCGCGCGAUUGGAGUGGCCGAUGUCAGAUUAGCUAGUUGGUGGGGUAAAGGCCUACCAAGGCAACGAUCUGUAGCUGGUCUGAGAGGAUGAUCAGCCACACUGGGACUGAGACACGGCCCAGACUCCUACGGGAGGCAGCAGUGGGGAAUUUUGGACAAUGGGGGCAAGCCUGAUCCAGCCAUUCCGCGUGAGUGAAGAAGGCCUUCGGGUUGUAAAGCUCUUUCGGCAGGAACGAAACGGUGAGCUCUAACAUAGCUUGCUAAUGACGGUACCUGAAGAAGAAGCACCGGCUAACUACGUG
rnacentral:rRNA from 1 species